AUCUUGUCGAUCCUCCUCUAGAUUAUGUUGGAAUUCUGCCCUUUGUUCUUCUACUUUUUCUUUUAGAUCUUAUCUUAUAAAGAUCUUAAAUAAUGCACUGCUAAAUGGCCUACUGUUUUUAGAUUAUGCAGACCAUCCCAUGUCCCUUGCACUGUGUGCUUUCUACUAAAUAUCGGUAAAAACAAAAACAAAACAACAACAACAACAAAAAACAACUCACUAUGCGUAACAAAACAUGGCUGCUGCUAAACGGAUUUUGGCCGCACGGUGGCGGCGAAUAACCAACCAAAAUGCAGUCGACUAAGGAGAUUUUCUGCGCCAUGGGAAUAUCACUGAACCUCUAUUAAAGGGGGGGCCCUCCUACAUUGAAUGUUCAUCCAGCUUUUGGUGCUAUCUUAGUCAAAGUCCUGUCCACUCCUCCCUGCCUCUUCUGGCCUGUUCAAACCGUUAGAGCAUGGAGAGGCCAUGAUAAGGUUAUCAGACAGCCUAAACUGGCUGACUCACCCUGGAAGAGCCUGCUGCCUUCAGAUUUCACCCCUGUGCUGACAUUCAGUCUGACUUCUCACUUAAGUCCCAUAUCUCCUGUCAUCCCUUCAACUUCUGGACCUUCAUGCCUCUGGACCUGCAGCUGGCUGUUUGUCAGUUGGAAAGCAGUUAUAUUACUCCUGGAAACGAUUCCUGCAUGCUGCACCUGGGAAGCAGAUGAUUACAGCAAGAGGAGCCACAGAUGGUUUUAGUUUUUUAGUAGCACCAUAAAAAUAUGGCC